UUUUGGACAAUGGGGGCAACCCUGAUCCAGCCAUGCCGCGUGCGGGAAGAAGGCCUUCGGGUUGUAAACCGCUUUUAGCCGGAAAGAAAAGGCCACGGAUAACACCCGUGGUUCUUGACGGUACCGGCGGAAUAAGCACCGGCUAACUACGCGCCAGCAGCCGCGGUAAUACGUAGGGUGCGAGCGUUAAUCGGAAUUACUGGGCGUAAAGCGUGCGCAGGCGGUCCGUUGUGUCCGAUGUGAAAGCCCCGGGCUUAACCUGGGAAUGGCAUGGGAAACUGGCGGGCUGGAGUGUGGCAGAGGGGGGUGGAAUUCCGCGUGUAGCAGUGAAAUGCGUAGAGAUGCGGAGGAACACCGAUGGCGAAGGCAGCCCCCUGGGCCAACACUGACGCUCAGGCACGAAAGCGUGGGGAGCAAACAGG
rnacentral:rRNA from 1 species